rnacentral:lncRNA from 1 species
GAGUGGCGCUGGGUAAGCACAGCAUGCAGUGCCGCCCCGCAUUGGCCUCCAGCAAACCCUAGGUCGAAAGUCCUGGACACGGUCAAAUGUUUCAAUGUCAAAACCAGAUAAAGAUUUGCAAGGGCAAAGGAGACCAAAUUAGAUGUGCUUAUACAUCAGACUGCAUCCAAAAGCAUCGACCAGAACAAUAUGCGUGGUGUGGUGUUGAAGGUGGUGCUCGGUUUGACAGUAAUCCCAGUUCGAGGGGCUCUACCACCCACUUCUCAACUCAGAGCACGAACAUGAAUAUGAGGAGACACAGCUGCUGGAGUUAAAAGCACAAAGACUAUUUAAGUCAGUGCAGUGCAGUGCUGUGCUCUUCGCAAAAGCUUGCCACCUCUACCCCAUGGCAGAUCUAAACCAAGGAAACCCACUCUUCAGAAAGAAAGGUUCAUAGUUCUGAUGGAUACUUGAAAG